rnacentral:rRNA from 1 species
GAUGAACGCUGGCGGCGUGCCUAAUACAUGCAAGUCGAGCGAACGGACGAGAAGCUUGCUUCUCUGAUGUUAGCGGCGGACGGGUGAGUAACACGUGGAUAACCUACCUAUAAGACUGGGAUAACUUCGGGAAACCGGAGCUAAUACCGGAUAAUAUUUUGAACCGCAUGGUUCAAAAGUGAAAGACGGUCUUGCUGUCACUUAUAGAUGGAUCCGCGCUGCAUUAGCUAGUUGGUAAGGUAACGGCUUACCAAGGCAACUAUGCAUAGCCGACCUGAGAGGGGGAUCGGCCACACGGGAACUGAGACGCGGUCCAGACUCCUACGGGAGGCAGCAGUAGGGAAUCUGCGGCAAUGGUCGAAAGCCUGACGGAGCAACGCCGCGUGAGUGAUGAAGGUCUUCGGAUCGUAAAACUCUGUUAUUAGGGAAGAACAUAUGUGUAAGGAACUGUGCACAUCUUGACGGUACCUAAUCAGAAAGCCACGGCUAACUACGUG